rnacentral:misc_RNA from 1 species
UUAAGUUCAGCGGUAGUCCUACCUGAUUUGAGAUCGAACGUUCAAAAGGCUGUCUUCACUGAGGAGAGACGUUUGUGAGCUCCAGCAAACCCCCAUUGUGGAAGGUUACCUGGCAGACAGUCACGAGCGUAGAUAGUUAUCACACCUGCGACGCCACCAAACACUGGAAGGCUGAUUCAUUUGAGAGGAGCCGACCCACA